UUCCGCCGUGGUGUAAUGGCAGCACAGGGCCCUUUGGAGGCCUUUGUCUGGGUUCGAAUCCUAGCGGCGGAGCCC
rnacentral:tRNA from 2 species